rnacentral:rRNA from 1 species
UAAAGAUUUAUCGGUAUAAGAUGAGUAUGCGUUCUAUUAGCUAGAUGGAGAGGUAACGGCUCCCCAUGGCGACGAUAGAUAGGGGUCCUGAGAGGGAGAUCCCCCACACUGGUACUGAGACACGGACCAGACUCCUACGGGAGGCAGCAGUGAGGAAUAUUGGACAAUGGAGGCAACUCUGAUCCAGCCAUGCCGCGUGCAGGAAGACUGCCCUAUGGUUGUAAACUGCUUUUAUACAGGAAGAAUAAGGAGUACGUGUACUCUGAUGACGGUACUGUAAGAAUAAGCACCGGCUAACUCCGUGCCAGCAGCCGCGGUAAUACGGAGGGUGCAAGCGUUAUCCGGAAUCAUUGGGUUUAAAGGGUCCGUAGCGGGUUUAUAAGUCAGUGGUGAAAUGCUGUGGCUCAACCAUAGCACUGCCAUUGAUACUGUAGAUCUUGAAUCGUUGUGAAGUGGUUAGAAUAUGUAGUGUAGCGGUGAAAUGCUUAGAUAUUACAUAGAAUACCGAUUGCGAAGCAGAUCACUAACAACGUAUUGACGCUGAUGGACGAAAGCGUAGGUAGCGAACGGGAUUAGAUACCCCGGUAGUCUACGCCGUAAACGAUGGAUACUAGUUGUUUGG